rnacentral:rRNA from 1 species
CCUACGGGAGGCAGCAGUGGGGGAUAUUGCACAAUGGGGGCAACCCUGAUGCAGCGACGCCGCGUGUGGGAAGACGGUCCUCUGGAUUGUAAACCACUGUCCCCAGGGACGAAGAUGACGGUACCUGGGGAGGAAGCUCCGGCUAACUACGUGCCAGCAGCCGCGGUAAUACGUAGGGAGCGAGCGUUGUCCAGAAUUACUGGGUGUAAGGGGAGCGUAGGCGGAGAUGCAAGUUGGGUGUAAAAACUACCGGCUCAACUGGUAGUCGAACUCAAAACUGCAGCUCUUGAGUGAAGUAGAGGCAGGCGGAAUUCCUAGUGUAGCGGUGAAAUGCGUAGAUAUUAGGAGGAACACCAGUGGCGAAGGCGGCCUGCUGGGCUUUUACUGACGCUGAGGCUCGAAAGUGUGGGUAGCAAACAGGAUUAGAUACCCUUGUAGUC